rnacentral:rRNA from 1 species
UACAGAGGUCUCAACCGUUGUUCGGAUUCAUUGGGCGUAAAGGGUGCGUAGGCGGUCGCGUAAGUCGGAUGUGAAAUCCCGGGGCUCAACCCCGGAACUGCAUUCGAUACUGCGUGGCUAGGGUACUGGAGAGGAGACUGGAAUUUACGGUGUAGCAGUGAAAUGCGUAGAUAUCGUAAGGAAGACCAGUGGCGAAGGCGGGUCUCUGGACAGUUCCUGACGCUGAGGCACGAAGGCCAGGGGAGCAAACGGG